UACAGAGGUGGCAAGCGUUGUUCGGAAUUACUGGGCGUAAAGGGCGCGUAGGCGGCCAUCUAAGUCAGACGUGAAAUCCCCCGGCUUAACCUGGGAACUGCGUCUGAUACUGGAAGGCUUGAGUAUGGGAGAGGGAUGUAGAAUUCCAGGUGUAGCGGUGAAAUGCGUAGAUAUCUGGAGGAAUACCGGUGGCGAAGGCGGCAUCCUGGACCAUUACUGACGCUGAGGCGCGAAAGCUAGGGGAGCAAACGGGAUUAGAUACCCCGGUAGUCCUAGCCCUAAACGAUGAAUACUUGGUGUGGCGGGUAUCGAUCCCUGCCGUGCCGAAGCUAACGCAUUAAGUAUUCCGCCUGGGGAGUACGGUCGCAAGGCUGAA
rnacentral:rRNA from 1 species